GGGUUGUGAGGUUAAGCGACUAAGCGUACACGGUGGAUGCCCUGGCAGUCAGAGGCGAUGAAGGACGUGCUAAUCUGCGAUAAGCGUCGGUAAGGUGAUAUGAACCGUUAUAACCGGCGAUUUCCGAAUGGGGAAACCCAGUGUGUUUCGACACACUAUCAUUAACUGAAUCCAUAGGUUAAUGAGGCGAACCGGGGGAACUGAAACAUCUAAGUACCCCGAGGAAAAGAAAUCAACCGAGAUUCCCCCAGUAGCGGCGAGCGAACGGGGAGCAGCCCAGAGCCUGAAUCAGUGUGUGUGUUAGUGGAAGCGUCUGGAAAGGCGCGCGAUACAGGGUGACAGCCCCGUACACAAAAAUGCACAUGCUGUGAGCUCGAUGAGUAGGGCGGGACACGUGGUAUCCUGUCUGAAUAUGGGGGGACCAUCCUCCAAGGCUAAAUACUCCUGACUGACCGAUAGUGAACCAGUACCGUGAGGGAAAGGCGAAAAGAACCCCGGCGAGGGGAGUGAAAAAGAACCUGAAACCGUG
rnacentral:rRNA from 1 species